rnacentral:rRNA from 1 species
CAGUAGCACGGGAAUACGUAGGUGGCAAGCGUUGUCCGGAAUUAUUGGGCGUAAAGGGCUCGCAGGCGGUUUCUUAAGUCUGAUGUGAAAGCCCCCGGCUCAACCGGGGAGGGUCAUUGGAAACUGGGAAACUUGAGUGCAGAAGAGGAGAGUGGAAUUCCACGUGUAGCAGUGAAACGCGUAGAGAUGUGGAGGAACACCAGUGGCGAAGGCGACUCUCUGGUCUGUAACUGACGCUGAGGAGCGAAAGCGUGGGGAGCGAACAGGAUUAGAUACCCGAGUAGUCCCUGUCUCUUAUACC